UGAAGGUAGGGAACGACCUGAUACAAACUAAGGGAACUUUAAGCGGAUUGUUGAGAAAUAAAAGGAAUAGGUGUUUUACUAAACAUGAGAGUGCGAUGUAAAAAAAGAUGAGACUAAUUCAUGGCGGAGGAGUGGAGACUCAGAUGCUAUCGGUUUCCGAUUCAAAUGCACAGGCCUGCUGGUGGUCUGAUGGCCUCCAGCACAAACAAAUCAGUACAAAAAGAAGCUUGUUAUUGAAUUUUUUUCCCCUGAUAACUAUUCCUAGAUUUUAAGGAUCUUUUA